rnacentral:rRNA from 1 species
CCUACGGGAGGCAGCAGUGGGGAAUUUUGGACAAUGGGGGAACCCCUGAUCCAGCAAUGCCGCGUGUGCGAAGAAGGCCUUCGGGUUGUAAAGCACUUUUGUCAGGGAAGAAAUCCUUUGGGCUAAUACCCUAGGGGGAUGACGGUACCUGAAGAAUAAGCACCGGCUAACUACGUGCCAGCAGCCGCGGUAAUACGUAGGGUGCAAGCGUUAAUCGGAAUUACUGGGCGUAAAGCGUGCGCAGGCGGUUGUGUAAGACAGGUGUGAAAUCCCCGGGCUUAACCUGGGAAUUGCAUUUGUGACUGCACGACUAGAGUGUGUCAGAGGGGGGUGGAAUUCCACGUGUAGCAGUGAAAUGCGUAGAUAUGUGGAGGAACACCAAUGGCGAAGGCAGCCCCCUGGGAUAACACUGACGCUCAUGCACGAAAGCGUGGGGAGCAAACAGGAUUAGAUACCCUGGUAGUCCACGCCCUAAACGAUGUCAACUAGUUGUUGGGGAUUUACUUCCUUGGUAACGUAGCUAACGCGUGAAGUUGACCGCCUGGGGAGUACGGCCGCAAGGUUAAAACUCAAAUGAAUUGACGG